AAAGUGAAAGUAGAUGGUGGUAAGUAUUUAUUUGAUAAUAGCUGGGACGAUCAUAGAUAUUUGGCGACAGGACAUUUUUUUCUGAAGCCCUCGUCCUUGUUUUCUAUUAAUUUUAGGAAAAUGAAUAAAAUGGAAAUAACGUACGUGUAUGAAAAAUUUGCCUUUCGCUAUCAAUAUCAAUUUGUCUUUCCACAGCGGUCACUGAUAUAUCAUGAUGUACGAUAAAAACAAAAAUUAUGUGAAACCUUCAUGGAUUUUUAUGAAAUUUGUGUAUGACCAAAUUACAGUAUCCAGAGUAAA
rnacentral:lncRNA from 1 species